UUUAAGUGCAACCGUGAGUUUUCGUGACCUACUUUGAUCGUUUGUCUUAUUUCAAUUUUUUUUUUGUAAUUGGUAUUUUUGUUGUUAUGAAAUGAUAAAAACAUGAAUAGUAUUUUACUCGUGACUUAUGUUUUUAAAUUUUUUCAAUAUUUUUUUAAAUAAGACGGACAAUCAAAGCUCGGCGCGAAAAACCAUGGCUAUAUUUAAA
rfam:Oryza sativa Japonica Group DNA, chromosome 4, cultivar: Nipponbare, complete sequence.